GCCUUCCCGGUGAGUCUGCGGGCUUAAACGGACGCGGUAAAGCGUGCUAAGGUAGCUAAAUUAUGGCCUAUUAAUUGUAGGUCCUGUGAAUGGUUUGACGAGUCUUCAACUGUCUCUAGUUUUUUUGGUGAACUUGAAUUGGAUGUGCAAAUGCUUCCAUGGGUAAGAAAGACGAGAAGACCCCGUGAAGUUAGAAAUUUUGGUUGUUGGUGAGCUUUUGGGGUGUAGGUUAAGUCACUUUAAGUGGUUUAAAGAAAAGUGAACAGCGAUAGUUUUGGCUGGGGCAGCAAAGAAGCAAGGCUAGACUUCUUUAGUUUAAAGACAGGUGUGUGACGACCCACAAGUUUGUUGGUGUGAUUAGCAGAAGAAGUAC
rnacentral:rRNA from 1 species